UACGUAGGUGGCAAGCGUUGUCCGGAUUUACUGGGCGUAAAGAGCGCGCAGGCGGUCGUGCAAGUCGCGUGUGAAAGCCCCCGGCUCAACUGGGGAGGGUCACGCGAUACUGUUCGACUCGAAGGCAGGAGAGGGAAGCGGAAUUCCCGGUGUAGUGGUGAAAUGCGUAGAUAUCGGGAGGAACACCAGUGGCGAAGGCGGCCUUCUGGACCAAUACUGACGCUCAUGCACGAAAGCGUGGGGAGCAAACAGG
rnacentral:rRNA from 1 species